rnacentral:rRNA from 1 species
UACGUAGGGGGCAAGCGUUGUCCGGAAUCAUUGGGCGUAAAGCGCGUGUAGGCGGCUUGGUAAGUCCGCUCUGAAAGCCCGGGGCUCAACCCCGGGAGGCGGGUGGAUACUGUCAAGCUCGAGUCCGGAAGAGGCGAGUGGAAUUCCUGGUGUAGCGGUGAAAUGCGCAGAUAUCAGGAGGAACACCGGUGGCGAAGGCGGAUCUCUGGGCCAUUACUGACGCUGAGGAGCGAAAGCGUGGGGAGCGAACAGG